rnacentral:rRNA from 1 species
GGCUCCUACGGGGGGCAGCAGUGGGGAAUAUUGCACAAUGGGGGAAACCCUGAUGCAGCAACGCCGCGUGAGUGAAGAAGUAUUUCGGUAUGUAAAGCUCUAUCAGCAGGGAAGAAGAUGACGGUACCUGAAUAAGAAGCCCCGGCUAACUACGUGCCAGCAGCCGCGGUAAUACGUAGGGGGCAAGCGUUAUCCGGAUUUACUGGGUGUAAAGGGAGCGUAGACGGCGGUGCAAGUCUGGAGUGAAAGGCAGGGGCCCAACCCCUGGACUGCUCUGGAAACUGUAGUGCUGGAGUGCAGGAGAG